GCACUUAUGGCCUAAUAUAUAAGGUGUUUGACUUCUAACAAGUAAUUGUGGGUUCGAGUCCCAUUAGGUGUG
rnacentral:tRNA from 1 species